CUUACACAAUCGUAUCUUCAGAAAUGCCUCCAACAAUUGGGUUUCUUGUUCAAUAUAGUAUGGAUGACAGUUUUCAAGAAGCUCUCACUCAGGAGCUUCUAUCUCUCCUAUCAUUCAAGGCCGAAUUCUUCUCAUUUCAUAGAAAAUAUUCUCUUCAUUUCUCUCAGUCCACCACAUUAAAGAUAAGAUUAGAUGUGGAAUUGAGGAAGCAAGCAGGAAAGACCUUGAAUAUUCACAUGGUCUGUAGUAGAAAGCCUGGCUUGCUUUUCUUUAGACUGAGGGCUCUGGAUGGACUUGGUCUUGGAGUCCGGCAAGGCUAGUUUUGCACUAGAUGUUUUUCAAGCCGAGCAAAUUUUGAAGAAAGAUAGUUGAGCCAAGGAAAUCAAAGCAGCGCUUCUGUUAUUCUACCAUGGAACAAACAUAGCAAACUACAAGUUGAAUUCUCAAUGAAUUCCCAUUCUGCUUCAAAAUCAUGCCAUUCCACCUGUAACCCAUGAAGAAUGUUUUCCUAGAUGGGCAUUUAAGACCAUAAUUCUGACGUUGAUUAGGAUAAAGGUUAUUAAUCUAUGGAUUUCAUAGAAAACUACAAGUUGAAUUCUCAAUGAAUUCCUAUUCUUCUUCAAAAUCAUAUCAUUCCACCUAUAAGCCAUGAAGAAUGUUUUUCUAGCAGCUGGGCAUUUAAGACCAUAAUUCUGACGUUGAUUUAGAAUAAAGGUUACUAAUGUAUGGAUUUCAUAGCAAACUGAUAUUUGCUCCCAUAUUUCUAACAAGAUCUCAUACCAUACAAUUUUGUAAGAAAAAAGGAAAAGAAAGCUCUUUUCAAGUUCAGGAUGCCCAGAAACCCUAAUUUUUUUGUUUGUUGGGUAUAUAAGUAAUUUGAACAGUGAUUCUACUGUUGUCAAUGUAUUGACUGUUUGAAUAGAAAAAACAACCAUACAUUGACUACAACAGACUGUUCAUGGACCAUAUUAUAUACCUAGCAAUAAUUUCAUAGAUUUUGGCAGAUAGAAAAUGUAUAAUUGAAUCAUGUUGAAAAUAUUAGCCUUUUUGAAGUGACGACACUUUCAAAAGCUUUUUGCAGUGGCAUAUGUACUUGAUUGAUAAUUUUUGUGCAAAUUCCAAUGUUUGCCUCGUGAAUGCUCGUGUUGAACAGUAAUAUUGUGAAUCAAGUCUAUUCUAUAAUACACGUUUAGAAUGAAAAGAAGUUUGACAGACAGGAAAUCGAGCUGUAUCGAUGAUUAGAAUGAAAAAAAGCUUUGACAGGCAUACAAGUUGGCUUCUAAAAUUCUCUUUUGAUGACAAUGCAAUAGAAAUCCUUUUGUCAUCUCAGGUUUCUAUGAUAUGAAUGAAUAAAGUACUGCUACUUAAGCUUCAUGUGAGCUGUAUAACUGAGGGUACUUUCUAAGCUGUAAAAUCAUUUGAAAGGAAUUACCCCAUUUCUCUCUUUAUUUAGCUGUACUUCAA